UACGUAGGGGGCAAGCGUUGUCCGGAAUUAUUGGGCGUAAAGCGCGCGCAGGCGGUUCUUUAAGUCUGGUGUUUAAACUCGGGGCUCAACCUCGAGUCGCACUGGAAACUGGGGAACUGGAGUGUAGGAGAGGAAAGUGGAAUUCCACGUGUAGCGGUGAAAUGCGUAGAGAUGUGGAGGAACACCAGUGGCGAAGGCGACUUUCUGGCCUAUAACUGACGCUGAGGCGCGAAAGCGUGGGGAGCAAACAGG
rnacentral:rRNA from 1 species